UCUAACUUAACCAUCUAGACAAUAACUGGGCUAGCAAUCAAAGAUGCAAGCCUGUCUACAAAGAGACUGGAAAAGAAAACUCUCUUAGCCACAAGUCAGGAAAUGAUUCAUUUUCUAACAUGUCAUCAAAAUUUUUAUUUCUUUUCUCUUAAAUCUACCCAACAGGUUAAAUUUGAUUAUUUCUCAAAUACUACUGUCAACUCUGCCAAAUAAUGCAUGUUUUUGAAGUGGAAAUGUAUUAUUUGUAUCCCAUAUCUGAAUUUCAGUCUCACAGAAAUUACAUAAAACAGAAGAGAAUGAAUCAUAGAAUAUCAAAUACCAUAACCUUUAGUACAGAAGGACUUUGAGAAUUAUUUCCCUAAUAGGCAAGGACAGAACAAACUGUGUGAGUUCUUGAUACGACCUCCUGCCUGGCUCUUGUUCAAUUAUCUCUAUGUUUCAUCUCUGAAGUGGGGAUAAUAAUAGUACCUACCUCAUAGGAUUGUUGUGAAGAGUCGGGGUUACUCCUUCUAAGUACUUCAAAUAUGUCUAUCUGGGCCUACUUUUGCAUCCUGGGCAUGAAACUUGAGGGGCAGGAGGAACCAAAGUGAAGAUGAAGCUCAUGCCCUCUGCUCUGCCAAGUGUCACAAACUGUACAAAUCCUGUGGGCUCAUUGUCUUCCUAUUGGCUGCAUCCACAGGGUCUGGCAAGCGGUCCCAGCAGGACAGAACUAAAACACCCAACAAAUGGAAGAUGCUAACUACCUGAUGAAGCUUCCUCAAUUCAGAAAGAAGAAGAAACACCAGACCCAGUCCUGGAGGCCGCUAAACAUCAACUUUGGAGAAGAAUGCAAGCUUGCACCUACCCUGAUCCUUAGCCCUAUUUUCCCUUAGCCCUAUUUUCUACUCCCAAACUAUAAAACCAGCUCCUAUUCUCUCCCAAAGGAGGACACAGUCUUUAGAGCUUUAGCCUGCUGUGGCCUCCUUUGCCUGACAAAGCAAUAAAAGCUAUUUUUUUCUCCUUGGCCCAAAACUCUCUCUCUG